UACGGAGGGUGCAAGCGUUAUCCGGAUUCACUGGGUUUAAAGGGUGCGUAGGCGGGCAGGUAAGUCAGUGGUGAAAUCUCCGGGCUUAACCCGGAAACUGCCGUUGAUACUAUCUGUCUUGAAUAUCGUGGAGGUAAGCGGAAUAUGUCAUGUAGCGGUGAAAUGCAUAGAUAUGACCCGGAACACCUAUUGCGAAGGCAGCAGGCUAAACAAAUAUUGACGCUGAGGCUCGAAAGCGUGGGGAUCAAACAGG
rnacentral:rRNA from 1 species